GGACUACUGGGGUAUCUAAUCCCGUUCGCUCCCCUGGCUUUCGUGUCUCAGCGUCAGCACAACCCCAGCGAGCUGUUUUCACCUUCGGCGUUCCAGACGAUAUCUACGCAUUUCACCGCUCCACCGUCUGUUCCGCUCGCCCCUAGUUGGCUCAAGACAGGCAGUAUACCCAGCCGUUCCACGGUUGAGCCGUGGGAUUUCACAAGGUACUUGCCCGCCCGCCUACACACGCUUUAAGCCCAGUGAUUCCGCCUAACGCUCGGCACCUCUGUCUUACCGCGGCUGCUGGCAC
rnacentral:rRNA from 1 species